CAAGCAAGAGGCUCCUGGGAGCAGCUCCAAGGCAGAGGCAAAUGCCAAAAGUCUAGAGAUAUGCCUGAGAUGUGAAGAUUUAACAAAGAACAAGGGAAGAAGCUAAAAGAAUUCAGAUGAAGAUGGAAGUAAAACAAGAAACUCUCCCUUUCUCCACUAGACCCUUUCUGAAGAAUGCAAGGGACCUACUUUUCUUGGUAAUUUGUGUAAAUACAGGGAACAACAGCAGUAAAAUGUCAGGCUAUUUGAAUAUGGGGGAAAAAACAGGGAUACUAUCUAUUUAAUAUUGAUUCUGUGUGGGAAAAUCCAGCAUCAGUUCUUUUCCCAUUUAAGCCUCCUUAAUGUUUUGUAUCUAUUGUUUCCUGUCUAUAAAGCUAGGGUCCUCAAUGAGCCUUGAAGUCUGUAUAGAUUUUCCUGCUGGCUCCUAAACUGAAUAUAAGUACAAUAUUCCCAGGCUUAUCCAGCUCUGACUCAGAUCCCAUUUGUAAUCCACAGAUGAGCAC